AGCUCGAGCCCGCUCAAAAGAUGGAGUGACAGAUGGGUGGGCUCGGCCGCUUCCCUCCCGCCCCGCCCACCGAUCCCCCUCCCCCCCAGCCCUGGCUCCCCUCUGCGAGUCCAGUCCACCCUCUUUUUCCAAAGCCGCCGCCGGGCUGUCUGGUGUCCUUUACUGAUUUGUUGAGGAGCGGGGGAGCCGAUUUGGGGAGACGGUGCUCGGUCGGCCAUGUUGCCUUUAUUUGGUUAGGGGGUGGGGGGAUGAGGGCUGGGGAUCUGCUGUGGCUGCUCCCAGCACUCUUCUUGAGCUCUGCCUGGGUGGGGAGAGCGAGGAGAGGAGAGGCCGCGGGAGGUCUCUCUCGCCCAGCUCCUGCUCCCAUUACGCACUGAGCGCCGCUGGGAAAACAGCAGCGCGAGGAGCAGAGCCUCCAGCCAGCCAGGCUCAAAUCUGAGCCGCGUGGGAAUCUGUAACGCGGCCGCCACCACAGACUGCGGUUGCGGGGGACGGCUGUUCCUUCCUUCCCCGCAGCUCCCCUCCGCGUGCGCUCCUGGCUGGCACUCUCUUCUUGACUGCUCAAGUUCCACGGGGGUUCUCGGAUUUCGCGCUGUGCAUUGAAGCGGGGGUGGGGGUUGGCCUUUAAAAGAUCCCAAAGCAAGGCAGACUUCAACCGCGUCUGUGGUGUUGCUGCUGCUGUAGCAAGGGCUACUUACGUCUCGCCCUCUCUUGAGGACUGGGGUAAAUAACAUCAUUUUUACGUAAGAUCGAUGGGGCUCUGUGUGUCUGCAGGGCUCGCACAGUUGAAACGGAUCAGAUCAGUGGAGGCAAAAGUGAGACUCUUUAAGAAUACAAGUGGGGAAGAGACUGCCAUGUUUCAGAUAUACCCCGAUCUUAAAUCCCAUUAGGCAGAAGUAUGAGUUCAGGAGCAGAUUGCUGUGUAGAUAAAAAGCACAUUUUCACAAGAGAGAGCAAAGAAUGCUUUUUAGUUUGGAAUGCGCAAGAGCCGUGGAUGCAACUUAACAGUUUUAUUUUAGUAGAAAACCAUUGUGGUUGAAAUGUGGAGCAGUAUACAAUUAUUCUUAAAAAAAAUGGUUUUGUAAUUGUUACAAUUAUAGCCUGUGAGCUUAGAGUAGGUGAAAGCACCAUUCCUCCUUCCACCUAUUCGCACCUCCUGCCCUGGCUGCGCUAGUCAGAGCUAAUCUGUGCAAAUAAUCGUCUGUUAGGGAAAUGUUAAAGCAGACUUUCUUACACCUGUACAUACGUUGAUCCGUGAGAGGCUGUCUUUGUUCUUUCUUUGUGUUUGCAGCAGAACAUGAUCAUAGCACCCAGAAACUACACAGGAAAAUAGGAAGCUGCUAUAUACCGUCCAGACCAUUGGUCCGUUUAGUUUCAGGCAGGAGUCUUUCCCAGCCUUGUUUGGGGAUGUUGAGAAUUGAAUCUGGAACCUUCUUCAUGCAAAUCAGAUGCUGUGACACUGAAGUACUGCUCCAUUCCUAAUUCUGUUUGUGGUGUGUAUGUUUGUGUUCUUGUUGCUGUUGUUUAGCUUCUAUUGCUGUAAUAUUAGGUUUCUUUGUGAAAUAUAACUAUUGCUAACUCACUAAAAUUGUUUGUUCUUAUACUUGACUAGUUAUGGGCUGGUUCACACAAACAUCAGCCCAAACAUGUACAUUUAUUGUGUACUUACUGUUUCCUGUAAUGGAGUUCCAAUGCCUGCACAUGUAAGAGUUGUUUUAAUUUUUAAAAAUCCGGAACACAUGUGGGUGUCAAAACUGCACCUGCCCUGACAUUCCAAUGUGUUGUCAUGUUAUGAAGUACUUAUAAUGUGCUUAAAAUUCUGCCUUAAGAGUAUAUCUGCUUUUCUCUGAUAUUGCUUCUGACUUUUAACUUUAAAAUAAAGUGGUUAAUAGAGGGUC